rnacentral:rRNA from 1 species
UACGGAGGGGGCUAGCGUUGUUCGGAAUUACUGGGCGUAAAGCGCACGUAGGCGGCUUUGUAAGUCAGAGGUGAAAGCCCGGAGCUCAACUCCGGAAUUGCCUUUGAGACUGCAUCGCUUGAAUCCAGGAGAGGUGAGUGGAAUUCCGAGUGUAGAGGUGAAAUUCGUAGAUAUUCGGAAGAACACCAGUGGCGAAGGCGGCUCACUGGACUGGUAUUGACGCUGAGGUGCGAAAGCGUGGGGAGCAAACAGGG